rnacentral:tRNA from 1 species
UAGACAGAGGCCUGUAGGUUUUGGGCGUAUAGCUGUUAACUAUAAGAGUCGUGGGAUCGAAGCCCAUCUGUCUAG